GAGGCUCUGCCUCACCUGACCGCACGUCACUGUCUGUGAUAUUAAACACAGUGCGUCUUAGAAGAGAGACCAGAUCACAAUAAAGUGACCAAAUCAUGUAGAAAACUGGGUCAGUCCAAAUGGCUCACUUACUUUGCCUUGCCUCUAAAGGAUGGCAGGUCUUUAGCAGUUUUCUUCUGGUUGGUCUUUGCAUUGUGUCUGACCCUGAUGAAGGUCCCAAGCUGCUGUUGAUGCUACAUGUGCAGCUGGAGUUUUGACUUCCAUCUGCAACUGUAGUGCUCUACCACACAAUGAUACAACAGUGACCUGCUACACAGACGAGGAAUCAGCUUUUCUUUAAAACCUGACCAAACAGCCAUGUGUUGUGAUGGCAGGCCUCACCUUCCAAGAGAGGAAGGCAGUGGCAUCGCUAAGAAAAAGACGAGCACCCUGAACACAGAAGAUCUGCACCCUCACUCGCGUGAGAUCCUAUCAACAGCUGCAGGAGAAAGACAGUACAUGGCGGCAGACCAUCUGACCUCAGAGACUGA